rnacentral:rRNA from 1 species
UACGUAGGGGGCAAGCGUUGUCCGGAAUUAUUGGGCGUAAAGGAGCGCGUAGGCGGUCGUGUAUAAGUCGGUUGUGAAAGUCGGGGGCUCAACCCUCGAAAGCCGGUGGAUACUGUCGGACUAGAGUGCGGAAGGAGGCGGAGUGGAAUUCCUGGGUGUAGCGGUGAAAUGCGCAGAUAUCAGGAGGAACACCAAUUCGGCGAAGGCAGCUCGCUGGGACGUUACUGACGCUGGAG